GACGAACGCUGGCGGCGUGCUUAACACAUGCAAGUCGAACGAUGACGACCGAGCUUGCUCGGUCUGAUUAGUGGCGAACGGGUGAGUAACACGUGAGCAACCUGCCCUUCACUCUGGGAUAACCUCGGGAAAUCGGGGCUAAUACCGGAUAUGAGCUCCUGUCGCAUGGUGGGUGUUGGAAAGUUUUUCGGUGAAGGAUGGGCUCGCGGCCUAUCAGUUUGUUGGUGAGGUAGUGGCUCACCAAGGCGAUGACGGGUAGCCGGCCUGAGAGGGCGACCGGCCACACUGGGACUGAGACACGGCCCAGACUCCUACGGGAGGCAGCAGUGGGGAAUAUUGCACAAUGGGCGAAAGCCUGAUGCAGCGACGCCGCGUGAGGGAUGACGGCCUUCGGGUUGUAAACCUCUUUCAGCAGGGAAGAAGCGAAAGUGACGGUACCUGCAGAAGAAGCGCCGGCUAACUACGUG
rnacentral:rRNA from 1 species